AAUAAGCGGAGGAAAAGAAACUAACAAGGAUUCCCCUAGUAACGGCGAGUGAAGCGGGAAAAGCUCAAAUUUGUAAUCUGGCGCCUUGGGCGUCCGAGUUGUAAUCUCGAGAAGUAUUUUCCGCGCUGGACCGCACAUAAGUCUGUUGGAAUACAGCGUCAUAGUGGUGAGAACCCCGUAUAGGGUGCGGAUGCCCAGUGCUUUGUGAUAUACUUUCGAAGAGUCGAGUUGUUUGGGAAUGCAGCUCAAAUUGGGUGGUAAAUUCCAUCUAAAGCUAAAUAUUGGCGAGAGACCGAUAGCGAACAAGUACCGUGAGGGAAAGAUGAAAAGCACUUUGGAAAGAGAGUUAACAGUACGUGAAAUUGUUGGAAGGGAAACGCUUGAAGUCAGACUUGCAUUUUGGAGUUCAGCCGCAAGGUGUAUUCUUCAAUUCGCAGGCCAGCAUCAGUUUCUGGGGGUGGAAAAGCGCGGUUGGAAGGUAGCAGUCUCGGCUGUGUUAUAGCUUUCCGCUGGAUUCACUUUUGGGGGCUGAGGAACGCAGUACGCUUUUUGCAAGAUUUUCGAGUCUUUCGUACUUAGGAUGCUGGUGGAAUGGCUUUAAACGACCCGUCUUGA
rnacentral:rRNA from 1 species